rnacentral:rRNA from 1 species
UCUUAGCAACCGAUUUGGUCCUAGUCCUACCUUUGGUUACUUCUAAAAUGAUACAUGCAAGUCAACCGGCACCACAGUGAGUAAUACAUUUAAUGUCCUCCACAGAAACAUUAACCCCUAUUGGUAUCAAGCUCCUAACCUCUAACCUCACAACACCUAGCCACCCACAUCUGCAGUACUAAACAUUAUACAAUAAGCUAAAGCUUGAUAUAGUUAUAGAUCCUAGAGUCGGUAAAUUAUGUGCCAGCCACCGCGGUUAUACAUAAGACUCAAACCAAGAGAAUUUCGGUAAAAAGGUGGCCAGAACAAGAAUAAUUAAGGUAGAAAUUAACUCCAGCACUAAUAAGCUCCUACAGGAUUCUAAUCACAAAAAUAAAGUUACCUUAUCCCCCCUUUAUUCGAACCACUAAAGCUCAAAAAUAAACUGGGAUUAGAUACCCCACUAUAUGAGCAGUAAAAAAACACAGCACCAGAGA